ACGAACGCUGGCGGCGUGCUUAACACAUGCAAGUCGAGCGGAAAGGCCCUUCGGGGUACUCGAGCGGCGAACGGGUGAGUAACACGUGAGUAACCUACCUCGAACUCUGGGAUAAGCCUGGGAAACUGGGUCUAAUACCGGAUGUUCAUCUCCUGCUGCAUGGUGGGGGAUGGAAAGUGUUUAGCGGUUCGGGAUGGGCUCGCGGCCUAUCAGCUUGUUGGUGAGGUAAUGGCUUACCAAGGCUUUUACGGGUAGCCGGCCUGAGAGGGCGACCGGCCACACUGGGACUGAGAUACGGCCCAGACUCCUACGGGAGGCAGCAGUGGGGAAUAUUGCGCAAUGGGCGGAAGCCUGACGCAGCAACGCCGUGUGAGGGAUGACGGCCUUCGGGUUGUAAACCUCUUUCACCAGGGACGAAGCUUUUGUGACGGUACCUGGGGAAGAAGCGCCGGCCAACUACGUGCCAGCAGCCGCGGUAACACGUAGGGCGCGAGCGUUGUCCGGAAUUAUUGGGCGUAAAGGGCUCGUAGGCGGUUUGUCGCGUCGAAAGUGAAAAUCCGGGGCUCAACUCCGGACUUGCUUUCGAUACGGGCAGGCUAGAGGUAGGCAGGGGAGAAUGGAAUUCCUGGUGUAGCGGUGGAAUGCGCAGAUAUCAGGAGGAACACCGGUGGCGAAGGCGGUUCUCUGGGCCUUACCUGACGCUGAGGAGCGAAAGCGUGGGGAUCGAACAGGAUUAGAUACCCUGGUGGUCCACGCCCUAAACGAUGAUAACUCGAUGUUGGCGAUAUAUUGUCAGUGUCCAAGCGAAAGCGUUAAGUUAUCCACCUGGGGAGUACGAUCGCAAGAUUGAAACUCAAAGGAAUUGACGGGGGCCCGCACAAGCGGAGGAGCAUGUGGUUUAAUUCGAUGAUACGCGAGGAACCUUACCCGGGCUUGAAAGUUAGCGACUGAUCCAGAGACGGAUCAUCCCUUCGGGGCGCGAAACUAGGUGCUGCAUGGCUGUCGUCAGCUCGUGCCGUGAGGUGUUGGGUUAAGUCCCGCAACGAGCGCAACCCCUAUGUUUAGUUGCCAGCAUUUUAAGGUGGGGACUCUAAACAGACUGCCUGCGCAAGCAGUGAGGAAGGCGGGGACGACGUCAAGUCAUCAUGGCCCUUACGUCCGGGGCUACACACGUGCUACAAUGGGCAGUACAGCGGGUUGCUACCUAGCAAUAGGAUGCUAAUCUCUAAAAGCUGUCCACAGUUCGGAUCGGGGCCUGCAACUCGGCCCCGUGAAGCUGGAUUCGCUAGUAAUCGCGUAUCAGCAAUGACGCGGUGAAUACGUUCCCGGGCCUUGUACACACCGC
rnacentral:rRNA from 1 species